GCACUCCCGGGGCGUCCCGCACUCAUCGCGAGGCGAGGCGCACCGAGAGCGCGCGCGCCGGGACCCGAAAGAUGGUGAACUAUGCCUGGUCAGGAUGAAGUCAGGGGAAACCCUGAUGGAGGUCCGUAGCAAUUCUGACGUGCAAAUCGAUCGUCGGAACUGGGUAUAGGGGCGAAANACUAAUCGAACCAUCUAGUAGCUGGUUCCCUCCGAAGUUUCCCUCAGGAUAGCUGGCACUCNGACGAACCCCGAACCAAAAUCGCACGAGUCUCAUCCGGUAAAGCGAAUGAUUAGAGGCAUUGGGGUCNAAACGGCCUCAACCUAUUCUCAAACUUUAAAUGGGUGAGAUCUCCGGCUUGCUCGAAGGGGCUCGCGCCGCGCGUCCUUCGGGGCGCGCGCGNCGCGGCCCCGCCUGAAGCCGAAGAUCGGAUCAACGGGUGCCAAGUGGGCCACUUUUGGUAAGCAGAACUGGCGCUGUGGGAUGAACCAAACGUCGAGUUAAAGCGC
rnacentral:rRNA from 1 species